rnacentral:lncRNA from 1 species
CAUGCAUCUGCAGAAAGUGCUAAGUAUAUAUCAAUAGCAGAGAACAUCUGCUGGAUCAUCAGUUUCUCAGAGUUCAUCGUGACACAGGCAUGAACACAAUGAACACGUAAGAACACAGAACAGGCGUUGAGAUCGAUCAAAUCGCGAGUCCAACACAACUGAGAGGCCUCUUCUCGUUGACACCGCCUAACGCACCGACCAGUGGGCGGUGAUGGCAAGCGCGGCGCUGACCCCC